rnacentral:rRNA from 1 species
CCUACGGGAGGCAGCAGUGGGGAAUAUUGCACAAUGGGGGAAACCCUGAUGCAGCGACGCCGCGUGGAGGAAGAAGGUCUUCGGAUUGUAAACUCCUGUUGUUGAGGAAGAUAAUGGCGGUACUCAACAAGGAAGUGACGGCUAACUACGUGC